AGAGUUUGAUUCUGGCUCAGGAUGAACGCUGGCGGCGUGCCUAAUACAUGCAGGUCGAACGAGGGUAGCAAUACUCGAGUGGCGAACGGGUGAGUAACACGUAGGUAACCUGCCUUACAGUUUGGGAUACCCGAGGGAAACCUUGGCUAAUACCGAAUAAUUCUUCUGAAGGCAUCUUCGGAAGCUAAAAGGGGCCUUUAAAGCCUCGCUGAAUGAUGGACCUGCGGCGCAUUAGCUAGUUGGUGAGAUAAUAGCCCACCAAGGCGAGGAUGCGUAGCCGACCUAAGAGGGUGAACGGCCACACUGGAACUGAGACACGGUCCAGACUCCUACGGGAGGCAGCAGUAGGGAGUUUUCGGCAAUGGGGGAAACCCUGACCGAGCAACGCCGCGUGAACGAUGAAAGGUCUUCGGAUUGUAAAGUUCUGUUAUAAGGGAAGAAUGAUAGCUUGAGGAAAUGCUAGUUAUUUGACGGUACCUUAUUAGAAAGCCACGGCUAACUACGUGCCAGCAGCUGC
rnacentral:rRNA from 1 species